rnacentral:lncRNA from 1 species
UUAUCCAAGCCUUCCUCAAUCUUUGUGUUUGAAUUCCUUGAGGUUGUAAAUGAAUGAAGUGGAAUGUUAGGUAUCAGGUUUGGUUUGCAGUGAUUGCUGGUAUAAGAGAGAUUUUUGGGUGUGCCACGGCAGAGCACAUUUGAUUUUUGAUAGACGUGGAUGUCAUGCAUUGAUCCUCUGAGCCGCGCGCUUUUCACAAGCCGGUAUAGCUGCUAAAUUUGCAGCAACUUGCAGAAGCAGAUAUUACAGACUGCUUAAGGGCAAAUAUUGGUGUGAAGCUGAGACCAACAGCGGCUGGAUCAGCGAAUCCAAGAUCGUGAAUGACAAGGAAACCAUGGCCCUUGGCCCAAGCUAGCCUGUAGCCUGAGGUGCAUGCCAAAUUGAGGUAGAUGGUCAAUGAGCCGGGAUGCUUAAGACGUUGAUUUAUGUAGUAGCAACCAUCGAGUUUGACGUACUAACGUGAGAGUCGCAGAGACGACAGAGGAUGCCGGAAGGGCUGUCAUCACUAGUGUUACACCACCGAGAGGCUGAAAUCAGCAGGAGAACACCUAAUUUUUAAAACACGGUGAACUGUAUCAUUCUUGUUUUUGCAAUAACAUUUAAUUGUUAUUGAGAUCUAUUAAGAUAGAUUUGUUUGAUAAUCUUGAUUUGCAAGACAUUCUUUUUUUGUGAUUUAUAAAUCGAAGAGGUUUUAUGUGGCCAAAUCGACUGGAAAUUGAAUUUGGAAGUAGUUAACCGGUCAUUGUUUUUUUUUUUAAAUAAAAUCUUUGGAAAACAUCCAAAGUAAGUGUACAUUGGUUUUUUUAUGACUUAGUGGACAAACUUAGAAGUGGUUUCGAAUGUAUCCACACCUAGAGUUCUUUUAUUAGUUUAAUUUGUUCAGAAAGUACAAACAGAGAUUCCUUUAAUUACUAUUUUUUUUGGUUGAGUUGUGUUUCAAAUUAAGAGUUUAAAACUGAGAAGAAAGAAUACUUAGUUUAUUUUGUGAGACACUUUUGUUGUGUUCCGCAUUAAUCAUGCAUUUUAUGACUUAAGAGAAAUUAAUAAUCCUCUUUAUGACUUAAGGAGAAAUAUUGUAAAUACUGCAAGAAGAAGUGGACUUAUAAAUUAAAUUGUAAAUAAUAAUUGUGUAAAUAGAA